GGAACGAACGCUGGCGGCAGGCCUAACACAUGCAAGUCGAGCGCCCCGCAAGGGGAGCGGCAGACGGGAGAGUAACACGUGGGAACGUACCCUUCAGUUCGGAACAACCCAGGGAAACUUGGGCUAAUACCGAAUACGUCCGUAAGGAGAAAGAUUUAUCGCUGAAGGAUCGGCCCGCGUCUGAUUAGCUAGUUGGUGGGUAAUGGCCCACCAAGGCGACGAUCAGUAGCUGGUCUGAGAGGAUGAUCAGCCUCAUUGGGACUGAGACACGGCCCAAACUCCUACGGGAGGCAGCAGUGGGGAAUAUUGGACAAUGGGCGCAAGCCUGAUCCAGCCAUGCCGCGUGGAUGAUGAAGGCCUUAGGGUUGUAAAGUCCUUUCGGCGGGGAAGAUAAUGACGGUACCCGCAGAAGAAGCCCGGCUAACUUCGUGCCAGCAGCCGC
rnacentral:rRNA from 1 species